GUAUCUUGCCUUGCUUAUGCAUUUGAUCCUGACUAAUCUCUGAAGCUAAACAAGCCUGGGUUAGUGCUUUAAUGGGAAACCAUCUGGGAAUCCUGGGUGCUUCAUGCA
ensembl:rRNA 5S_rRNA 5S ribosomal RNA